rnacentral:lncRNA from 1 species
AGGAGGCAAGAAUCAUAAAAAACUGCAGCCGACUAGCAAGGACUUGCAGGAACCGCACAGAACAAAGAGAUCUUCACAAAACGAGAGAAGAAGGUGGUCUUUGGAGGAGAUCAAGGCCGUGGAGAAGACAAUGAUGGAAUUCAUAAUGUCUGGAAAGGUUCCUGGUAAAGCCCAGUGCAUGAACUGUAUCGAAAGUUCCCCAGCAGCACUUCAAAAUAGAAGUUGGGAGGGGGUGAAAUUUUAUGUAAAAAAUCGCAUUGAUUCCCUAAAGAAAAAAUUGUGAAAGGUAAGGACCUUCAUCUAAUUAUUUUUUUCGUGUCUGCCGGAAGAAAGAAAAUUUAUUACUUAAAAAAAUGUGAAAGGUAGGUGAAAGGGCCUUCACCACUGUUUUUUCUUCAUGAUUGUUGAAAGCAACAAGUUUGAUUUCAUUAAAGCAAAAAAAUGUAAAAGGGCCUUCACCAGUUUUGUCUUUGUUAAAGGCAACAUGUAUGUGAAUCUUGUUUAAGCAAACUCAACAUGCAUCUGCUUAAAGAGCAGUAUACUAAAACGUUCAUGUUAACAUUUAAAUAAAUGUUUAAAACACUAAAA